AUCCCUGUAGCGCAAUGGAUAGCGCGCGCGCGCGCGCGUCGGACUUCUAAUCCAAAGGUCGUGGGCUCGAACCCAUCUGGGAUG